UAGAAACAGACCUUUCCAUCUGAGUGGUUCCAUCGCAGGAUUCACAUCUAAAGCUUUGCAAAGACACUUUGUGUUCAUCAACGAGGGGCAGAUCGCAGUGUCACUUCAUGUCAUACUCAAGUGAGAGAUGCUGAAUAAGUUAUACAGUAACUUACUUAUCAAAUAGGCACGUACAAACUCCACGGAGCUCUGAGAUGAGGCGAAAAUAAAUGAAAAUAGGGCUUAAAUCCUGUGAAAUGUGCAUAAGAACUGUGGAUGCUUGGCAGGGGG